rnacentral:rRNA from 1 species
AGUGUGCGGCGUGCUUACACAUGCAUGUCGACGAUGAAGUUCCUUCGGGGAUGCUUUAGUGGCGAAGGGGUGAGGAACACGUGAAGAAUCUGCCCUCCACUUUGGGAUACUCCGGGAAACCGGGGCUAAUACCGAAUAUUGAAACAUAAGCGGCAUCGCUGAGUUUUGAAAGAAUUUCGGUGGAGGAUGACUUCGCGGCCUAUCAGCUUGUUGGUGAGGUAAUGGCUCACCAAGGCAACGACGGGUAGCCGGCCUGAGAGGGCGACCGGCCACACUGGGACUGAGACACGGCCCAGACUCCUACGGGAGGCAGCAGUGGGGAAUAUUGGGCAAUGGACGCAAGUCUGACCCAGCGACGCCGCGUGCGGGAUGAAGGCCUUCGGGUUGUAAACCGCUUUCAGCAGGGAAGACGCGAAAGUGACGGUACCUGCAAAAGAAGCACCGGCUAACUAUGUG